rnacentral:rRNA from 1 species
UACAGAGGUCUCAAGCGUUGUUCGGAUUCAUUGGGCGUAAAGGGUGCGUAGGCGGCGCGGUAAGUCGGGUGUGAAAUCUUGGAGCUUAACUCCGAAACUGCAUUCGAUACUGCCGUGCUUGAGGACUGGAGAGGAGACUGGAAUUUACGGUGUAGCGGUGAAAUGCGUAGAUAUCGUAAGGAAGACCAGUGGCGAAGGCGGGUCUCUGGACAGUUCUUGACGCUGAGGCACGAAGGCCAGGGGAGCAAACGGG